UUGGAGGGCAAGUCUGGUGCCAGCAGCCGCGGUAAUUCCAGCUCCAAUAGCGUAUAUUAAAGUUGUUGCAGUUAAAAAGCUCGUAGUUGAAUUUCGGGAUCAAAUUGUCGGUCGUGCCUCGGUACGAACUGGUAUUAUUGGUUCCUCCCUUCUGAAGAACCGCGAUGUCAUUAAUUUGGUGUCGUGGGGAAUCAGGACUGUUACUUUGAAAAAAUUAGAGUGUUUAAAGCAGGCUUACGCUUGAAUACAUUAGCAUGGAAUAAUGAAAUAGGACGUUUGAUUCUAUUUUGUUGGUUUCUAGGAUCGACGUAAUGAUUAAUAGGGAUAGUUGGGGGCAUUAGUAUUCAAUUGUCAGAGGUGAAAUUCUUGGAUUUAUUGAAGACUAACUACUGCGAAAGCAUUUGCCAAGGAUGUUUUCAUUAAUCAAGAACGAAAGUUAGGGGAUCGAAGACGAUCAGAUACCGUCGUAGUCUUAACCAUAAACUAUGCCGACUAGGGAUCGGAUGAUGUUAAUUUUUUAAUGACUCAUUCGGCGCCUUACGGGAAAC
rnacentral:rRNA from 1 species